rnacentral:rRNA from 1 species
ACGCUCGACACCUACGGAGGCAGCAGUGGGGAAUAUUGCACAAUGGGGGAAACCCUGAUGCAGCGACGCCGCGUGAGCGAAGAAGUAUUUCGGUAUGUAAAGCUCUAUCAGCAGGGAAGAAACUGACGGUACCUGACUAAGAAGCACCGGCUAAAUACGUGCCAANAGCCGCGGUAAUCUGAGCGGGCGUGGCGAAGGACG